CCUACGGGUGGCAGCAGUGAGGACUAUUGGUCAAUGGUCGGGAGACUGAACCCGCCAAGCCGCGUGAGGGAGGAAGGUACAGUGUGUCGUAAACCUCUUUUGUCAGGGCACAAAGGCGGGUACGUGUCCACGGAUGCGUGUCACUGUAGAAAAAGCAUCGGUAACCCCCGUGCCAGCAGCCGCGGUAAUACGGAGGAGGGGAGUGUUAUCCGGGUUUAUGGGGUUUAAAGGGGGAGCAGGCGGUCUGUUGCGUCAGCGGUCACAGCCCGGGGCUAAACCCCGGCCCGCCGUUGAAACUGGCAGGCGCGAGUUGGGGAGAAGUAUGCGGAAUGCGCGGUGUAGCGGUGAAAUGCAUAGAUAUCGCGCAGAACUCCGAUUGCGAAGGCAGCAUGCCGGCUCCACACUGACGCUGAGGCACGAAAGCGUGGGUAUCGAACAGGAUUAGAUACCCUUGUAGUC
rnacentral:rRNA from 1 species